rnacentral:rRNA from 1 species
AGUCUGCAACUCGACUACAUGAAGCUGGAAUCGCUAGUAAUCGCAGAUCAGAAUGCUGCGGUGAAUACGUUCCCGGGUCUUGUACACACCGCCCGUCACACCAUGGGAGUCGGAAAUGCCCGAAGCCGGUGACCAAACCAAUAAGGAAGGAGCCGCCGAAGGCAGGUCUGAUAACUGGGGUGAAGUCGUAACAAGGUAUC